AACUUUGAAUGGAAACAAACUGACAUUUGUCAGGGAAGACACGUUUGAAAAUCUCACUAACUUACAAUAUCUGCAUUUGUACAGCAAUCAAAUAACUACAAUACAACAAGGAACAUUUCAAAACCUACCAGCGCUAUACGAACUAUUUUUAUACAGCAAUCAAAUAACUACAAUAGAGCUAGGAGCAUUUCAAGACCUACCAGCGUUAGGCCGACUAUCUUUGCGUAUAAAUCAAAUAACAACAAUACAGCAAGGAACAUUUCAAGACCUACCAGCGCUUAACCUUCU